rfam:Oryza glaberrima chromosome 3 Oglab03_0091_6, whole genome shotgun sequence.
AAUAAGUACAGUUUUACAUUAUUCACGAUCAACGUUUGACCGUUUAUCUUAUUUGAAAACAUUUUAUUAUUAAUAUUUUUAUUGCUAUUAGAUGAUAAAACAUAAAUAGUACUUUAUGUGUGACUAAAUAUUUUUAAAUUUUUCGCAAAUUUUUAAAAUAAGACAGAUAGUCAAACGUUGGGUACGGAUAUCCACGGCUGUAAUUAUU